rnacentral:lncRNA from 1 species
GUCACCUACGGGUUCUCUAGGGCCUCCGAUCAGCCCAGGAGGCGUCCUCCCCUACACCGGCACCCGUGUUCUGGGGGCCCUAAACGGGGGGAGGAGUACAGGAACUGCCCAGACCCCGGAGGUCACUACGAGCAGCACGUUUCAUCGUUUGGGGACAGUUUGGGACGUGGGAAGAGGCGUGGACAGGUGGGGGGCUCCUCCCCCGGUCCCCAGCGGCGCCGGCAUUUACCUUGGCUUUGGCAGGCCCUGCAGGUCCAGAAAUGUCCCUGGCCCUGGCCCCGCCCCCGCCGCACUGGCUUCUGGGGAAUGUAGUUCGGCUCUCAUGCACUGCUUCCGGGGCCCCCCCCAUCGAGUCUGCUCCCGGGCUCCCCCUAGGGGUCCUGUUCGUCCCUUCAGAUGGGCGGCCAGGGGAUUGCCCUAUUGAGCCAACCUGAGGGAGACAUUGAAAUUCCCCCUCAAGAGUCCCACAUCGGUAAUAACUGACAGUUCUGGUCCAGCCAUGAUUAAUAGCCCAUGGUUCUGGUCCAACCAUGCUUUAAUAACCCAUAAUUCUGGUCUGUAAUCCAUGGUUCUGGUUCAACCUCCUCAAAAUAUAGAUGAGCUGAGAUCUAAGAAAUUACAUUUGUUGAUUGCCUGACUGCCCAGGGUCAGAGAAUCAGUCAGUUAACAAGCAUGUAUUAAGCACCUACUAAAUACAAGGCAUGUGCUAAGUGCUGCAGAGUGUAAGACAAAAGAGGAAGACAACAUGAAACCUCCUAGCACUUGCAAUUUAUGUGUACAGGAUAAAUUGGAGAUAAUCUACAGAGAGGAGGUACUAGCAAUAAGGGGAAUAGGGAAAGAUUUCUUGUAGGGUUAAGUGACCUAAAUGUCACAUAGCUAGUGUCUGAGUCUGGAUUUGAACCCAGGUCUUCCUGACUGCAGACCCAGGGCUCUAUCCACUGAGUCACCUAGCUGCCAGCUUGGGGGACAUGAUAAAUGUUAUUUGAAACUUAUUUCAGUUUGUGUGCUUAUUUCUAGUAUGUGCUUAAACUUAUCACUGUAUAAAUGUAAACCAUCAGAGAAAGAAGAAAGAAGAAGCAACUGCUGAAACUGUAGUCUAAGAAGUCUUAGGUUUGAAAGAGGAAGGUUAGAUUUCCUGGCAAUGAUGGUUGCAAGAAGAAUUGAGUAAGGUGAAAGACUUAAGAAGAUAGAGGAAGUUUCUUCUCAAGUUUUUAAAAACAGUCCAGGUUCUCGUGUACCCGUGUUGUUUCAUGUAUGGUUUUGCCAGGACCGGGGGCAAAAGGUUAGGUGACUUCCAAGACUGAAUUUCUGUACUAUGGACAGAAGAUAUACUAAAGUGUAUGUCAAGGAAGCAUAUUAUUUGUUUGGGGUUUGAUUUUUGCUAUUUCUUUUUUUAUUACUCAUUUGUUCUUCUCCAUCAAUGA